rnacentral:rRNA from 1 species
GAUGAACGCUGGCGGCGUGCCUAACACAUGCAAGUCGAGCGAUUCUCUUCGGAAAAUAGCGGCGGACGGGGGAGUAGCGCGAGGGUAACCUGCCCUGUACACACGGAUAACAUACCGAAAGGUAUGCUAAUACGGGAUAAUAUAUGAAAGUCGCAUGGCUUUUAUAUCAAAGCUUUUGAGGUACAGGAUGGACCCGCAUCUGAUUAGCUAGUUGGUGAGGUAAUGGCUCACCAAGGCGACCAUCAGUAGCCGACCUGAGAGGGUGAUCAGCCACACCGAAACUGAGACACGGACCUGACUCCUACGGGAGGCUCCUAUGGGGAAUAUUGCAGAAUGGGCGAAAGCCUGAUGCACCAACGCCACGUGAGCGAUGAAGGCCUUCGGGUCGUGAAUCUCUGUCCUCAAGGAAUAUAAUGACGGUACUUGAGGAGGAAGCCCCGGCUAACUACUUGCCACCGGCCGCGGUAAUACGUAGGGGGCUAGCGUUAUGCGGAAUUACUGGGCGUAAAGGGUGCGUAGGUGGUUUUUUAAAUCUGAAGUGAAAGGCUACUGCUCAACUGGAUUGAGCUUUUGAAUCUAAAGAACUUGAGUGCAGGAUAGGAGAGUAGAAUUCCUAGUGUAUCGGUGAAAUGCGGUAGAUAUUAGGAGGAAUACCAGGUAGCG